GAGUUUGAUCCUGGCUCAGAUUGAACGCUGGCGGAAUGCUUUACACAUGCAAGUCGAACGGCAGGCACGGGGCAACCUGGUGGCGAGUGGCGAACGGGUGAGUAAUACAUCGGAACGUGCCCAAUCGUGGGGGAUAACGUAGCGAAAGUUACGCUAAUACCGCAUACGAUCUACGGAUGAAAGCGGGGGAUCGCAAGACCUCGCGCGAAUGGAGCGGCCGAUGUCAGAUUAGGUAGUUGGUGGGGUAAAGGCUCACCAAGCCGACGAUCUGUAGCUGGUCUGAGAGGACGACCAGCCACACUGGGACUGAGACACGGCCCAGACUCCUACGGGAGGCAGCAGUGGGGAAUUUUGGACAAUGGGCGCAAGCCUGAUCCAGCCAUUCCGCGUGCAGGAUGAAGGCCUUCGGGUUGUAAACUGCUUUUGUACGGAACGAAACGGUUCUCUCUAAUACAGGGGGCUAAUGACGGUACCGUAAGAAUAAGCACCGGCUAACUACGUG
rnacentral:rRNA from 1 species